GACGUAGGGGGCGAGCGUUGUCCGGAUUUAUUGGGCGUAAAGCGCGCGUAGGCGGCCGAGCAAGUCGGAUGUGAAAACCCGGGGCUCAACCCCGGGCGUGCAUUCGAUACUGCGCGGCUCGAGACAGGUAGGGGAGAUCGGAAUUCCUGGUGUAGCGGUGAAAUGCGCAGAUAUCAGGAGGAACACCGGUGGCGAAGGCGGAUCUCUGGGCCUGUUCUGACGCUGAGGCGCGAAAGCUAGGGGAGCGAACAGG
rnacentral:rRNA from 1 species